rnacentral:rRNA from 1 species
AUUGAACGCUGGCGGCAUGCCUAACACAUGCAAGUCGAGCGAGCGGCGGACGGGUGAGUAAUGUAUGGGGAUCUGCCUGAUGGAGGGGGAUAACUACUGGAACCGGUAGCUAAUACUGCAUACCAUCAGAUGAGCCCAUAUGGGAUUAGCUAGUAGGUGUGGUAACGGCUCACCUAGGCGACGCUCCCUAGCUGGUCUGAGAGGAUGAUCAGCCACACUGGGACGGAGACACGGCCCAGACUCCUACGGGAGGCAGCAGUGGGGAAUAUUGGACAAUGGGCGCAAGCCUGAUACAGCCAUGCCGCGUGUGUGAAGAAGGCCUUAGGGUUGUAAAGUACUUUCGGCAGAGAAGCGUUACCCGCAGAAGAAGCACCGGCUAACUCCGUGCCAGCAGCCGCGGUAAUUC